GGCCUGAUGGUCUAGUAGUAUGAUUCCUUGUUAGGGUUGUCUUCAGCUCAUCUCGAGGAGGUCCCGGGUUCAAUUCCCGGUUAGGCCC
rnacentral:tRNA from 1 species